rnacentral:rRNA from 1 species
GCAAGUCGAACGAUGAAGGAGAGCUUGCUCUCUGGAUUAGUGGCGAAAGGGUGAGUAACGCGUGAGUAAGCUGCCCUCAAGUUGGGAAUAAUUCACCGAAAGGUGGACUAAUACCGGAUACGGUUAUAACAGUGCAUAUUGUAAUAACUAAAGAUUUAUCGCUUGAGGAUGUGCUCGCGUCCCAUUAUGUUUGUUGGUGAGGUAACGGCUCACCAAGACUAUGACGGAUAACUGGUCUGAGAGGAUGAUC